UACGUAGGGGGCAAGCGUUGUCCGGAAUCAUUGGGCGUAAAGAGCGUGUAGGCGGCCCGGUAAGUCCGCUGUGAAAGUCCAGGGCUCAACCCUGGGAUGCCGGUGGAUACUGUCGGGCUCGAGUCCGGAAGAGGAGUGUGGAAUUCCUGGUGUAGCGGUGAAAUGCGCAGAUAUCAGGAGGAACACCAAUGGCGAAGGCAGCACUCUGGGACGUGACUGACGCUGAGACGCGAAGGCGUGGGGAGCAAACAGG
rnacentral:rRNA from 1 species